UGGGGAAUAUUGGACAAUGGGCGAAAGCCUGAUCCAGCAACGCCGCGUGAGGGAUGACGGCCUUCGGGUUGUAAACCUCUUUCAGCGGGGACGAAGCGCCGGUAAUGGUGGUGACGGUACCCGCAGAAGAAGCACCGGCCAACUACGUGCCAGCAGCCGCGGUAAUACGUAGGGUGCGAGCGUUGUCCGGAAUUAUUGGGCGUAAAGGGCUCGUAGGCGGUUUGUCGCGUCGGGAGUGAAAACACCGGGCUUAACUCGGUGCUUGCUUUCGAUACGGGCAGACUAGAGGCAUGCAGGGGAGAACGGAAUUCCUGGUGUAGCGGUGAAAUGCGCAGAUAUCAGGAGGAACACCGGUGGCGAAGGCGGUUCUCUGGGCAUGUCCUGACGCUGAGGAGCGAAAGUGUGGGGAGCGAACA
rnacentral:rRNA from 1 species